rnacentral:tRNA from 1 species
UGUCCCGUGGUGUAAAUGGAAACACAACAGAUUUUGGUUCUGUCAUUCAUGGUUCGAACCCAUGCGGGAUAA